rnacentral:lncRNA from 1 species
CCUUCUCUGCUCUGAAACCCUAGCGGUGGACAGAAGGACGGAUGCCACACGGCGGUUCGUUCCCGUUGCGGCCUGGCCGGGUGAACGGUGACGGGGACGGCCGACUUGUUACACUUUUGUCCCUUAACACAGGAAGGAGGGCGAUGCCCGGGCCACGGACGGGAGCCAGAGGAGCCGCUCGCCGGCAUCCCGAACCAGGGGGAGAGCUCAGCAGGGUACAAGCAGGCGAGACGUGGGCAGGCUGCUCGGGGAGAGGCUCACCGAUUUCAAGGUAAAAAAAAAAAAAAAAGUAAGACACUAUGCAUUUA